rnacentral:rRNA from 1 species
GAUGAACGCUGGCGGCGUGCCUAAUACAUGCAAGUCGAGCGAAUGGAUUAAGAGCUUGCUCUUAUGAAGUUAGCGGCGGACGGGUGAGUAACACGUGGGUAACCUGCCCAUAAGACUGGGAUAACUCCGGGAAACCGGGGCUAAUACCGGAUAACAUUUUGAACCGCAUGGUUCGAAAUUGAAAGGCGGCUUCGGCUGUCACUUAUGCAUGGACCCGCGGCGCAUUAGCUAGUUGGUGAGGUAACGGCUCACCAAGGCAACGAUGCGUAGCCGACCUGAGAGGGUGAUCGGCCACACUGGGACCGAGACACGGCCCAGACUCCUACGGGAGGCAGCAGUAGGGAAUCUUCCGCAAUGGACGAAAGUCUGACGGAGCAACGCCGCGUGAGUGAUGAAGGCUUUCGGGUCGUAAAACUCUGUUGUUAGGGAAGAACAAGUGCUAGUUGAAUAAGCUGGCACCUUGACGGUACCUAACCAGAAAGCCACGGCUAACUACGUGCCAGCAGCCGCAGUAA